GCCACUUUAGCUUAGUGGCAGAGCGUCUGCUUUGAAAGCAGAAAGUCGUCUGUUUCAAUCCUGGCAAGUGGCU
rnacentral:tRNA from 1 species